rnacentral:rRNA from 1 species
UACGUAGGGUGCAAGCGUUGUCCGGAAUUAUUGGGCGUAAAGAGCUCGUAGGCGGUCUGUCGCGUCGGAUGUGAAAAUCCAGGGCUCAACCCUGGACCUGCAUUCGAUACGGGCAGACUAGAGUUCGGUAGGGGAGACUGGAAUUCCUGGUGUAGCGGUGAAAUGCGCAGAUAUCAGGAGGAACACCGGUGGCGAAGGCGGGUCUCUGGGCCGAUACUGACGCUGAGGCGCGAAAGCGUGGGGAGCGAACAGG